GAUGAACGCUGGCGGCGUGCCUAAUACAUGCAAGUCGAGCGAACGGACGAGAAGCUUGCUUCUCUGAUGUUAGCGGCGGACGGGUGAGUAACACGUGGAUAACCUACCUAUAAGACUGGGAUAACUUCGGGAAACCGUAGCUAAUACCGGAUAAUAUUUUGAACCGCAUGGUUCAAAAGUGAAAGACGGUCUUGCUGUCACUUAUAGAUGGAUCCGCGCCGCAUUAGCUAGUUGGUAAGGUAACGGCUUACCAAGGCAACGAUGCAUAGCCGACCUGAGAGGGUGAUCGGCCACACUGGAACUGGGACACGGUCCAGACUCCUACGGGAGGCAGCAGUAGGGAAUCUUCCGCAAUGGGCGAAAGCCUGACGGGGCAACGCCGCGUGAGUGAUGAAGGGCUUCGGAUCGUAAAACUCUUUUAUUAGGGAAGAACAUAUGUUUAAGUAACUGUGCACAUCUUGACGGUACCUAAUCAGAAAGCCACCGCUAACUACGUG
rnacentral:rRNA from 1 species